GGCUGUCUGUACUGUUGAUGGUCACGUGAAUCUUUACCGCCCGCCAGUUUCUGAAUUUUGUGAUGACUGGGUUAAGGUUGCGGAUAUAUCUCAAUUGUUGUUUAACUAUUACCAAAAUAUUAACUUCGGAGAGGAUGAUGGUCCAGAUUCAUUUCCUCAGGAAAAGGCAAAUAUUGAGCACGCUCCUCAG